AUACGUAGGGGGCAAGCGUUGUCCGGAAUUAUUGGGCGUAAAGCGCGCGCAGGCGGCCUGUUAAGUCUGGUGUGAAAGACCACGGCUCAACCGAGGGGUGGCAUCAGAAACUGGCGGGCUUGAGUGCAGGAGAGGAGAGUGGAAUUCCCGGUGUAGCGGUGGAAUGCGUAGAGAUCGGGAGGAACACCAGUGGCGAAGGCGACUCUCUGGCCUGUAACUAACGCUGAGGCGUGAAAGCGUGGGGAGCGAACAGGAUUAGAUACCCUGGUAGUCCACGCCGUAAACGAUGAGUGCUAGGUGUUGGGGGUCUCCGCCCUCUGUGCCGAAGGUAACCCAAUAAGCACUCCGCCUGGGGAGUACGGCCGCAAGGCUGAA
rnacentral:rRNA from 1 species